rnacentral:rRNA from 1 species
CUUCGGGGUGUGACUGCGUACCUUUUGUAUAAUGGGUCAGCGACUUAUAUUCUGUAGCAAGGUUAACCGAAUAGGGGAGCCGGAGGGAAACCGAGUCUUAAUUGGGCGUUAAGUUGCAGGGUAUAGACCCGAAACCCGGUGAUCUAGCCAUGGGCAGGUUGAAGGUUGGGUAACACUAACUGGAGGACCGAACCGACUAAUGUUGAAAAAUUAGCGGAUGACCUGUGGCUGGGGGUGAAAGGCCAAUCAAACCGGGAGAUAGCUGGUUCUCCCCGAAAGCUAUUUAGGUAGCGCCUCGUGAAUUCAUCUCCGGGGGUAGAGCACUGUUUCGGCUAGGGGGCCAUCCCGGCUUACCAACCCGAUGCAAACUGCGAAUACCGGAGAAUGUUAUCACGGGAGACACACGGCGGGUGCUAACGUCCGUCGUGAAGAGGGAAACAACCCAGACCGCCAGCUAAGGUCCCAAAGUCAUGGUUAAGUGGGAAACGAUGUGGGAAGGCCCAGACAGCCAGGAUGUUGGCUUAGAAGCAGCCAUCAUUUAAAGAAAGCGUAAUAGCUCACUGGUCGAGUCGGCCUGCGCGGAAGAUGUAACGGGGCUAAACCAUGCACCGAAGCUGCGGCAGCGACACUGUGUGUUGUUGGGUAGGGGAGCGUUCUGUAAGCCUGUGAAGGUGUGUCGUGAGGCAUGCUGGAGGUAUCAGAAGUGCGAAUGCUGACAUAAGUAACGAUAAAGCGGGUGAAAAGCCCGCUCGCCGGAAGACCAAGGGUUCCUGUCCAACGUUAAUCGGGGCAGGGUGAGUCGACCCCUAAGGCGAGGCCGAAAGGCGUAGUCGAUGGGAAACGGGUUAAUAUUCCCGUACUUGGUGUUACUGCGAAGGGGGGACGGAGAAGGCUAUGUUGGCCGGGCGACGGUUGUCCCGGUUUAAGCGUGUAGGUGUGUGUUCCAGGUAAAUCCGGUUCACUUUAACACUGAGGCGUGACGACGAGGCACUACGGUGCUGAAGCAACAAAUGCCCUGCUUCCAGGAAAAGCCUCUAAGCAUCAGGUAACAUCAAAUCGUACCCCAAACCGACACAGGUGGUCAGGUAGAGAAUACCAAGGCGCUUGAGAGAACUCGGGUGAAGGAACUAGGCAAAAUGGUGCCGUAACUUCGGGAGAAGGCACGCUGACACGUAGGUGAAGUGAUUUACUCAUGGAGCUGAAGUCAGUCGAAGAUACCAGCUGGCUGCAACUGUUUAUUAAAAACACAGCACUGUGCAAACACGAAAGUGGACGUAUACGGUGUGACGCCUGCCCGGUGCCGGAAGGUUAAUUGAUGGGGUCAGCGCAAGCGAAGCUCCUGAUCGAAGCCCCGGUAAACGGCGGCCGUAACUAUAACGGUCCUAAGGUAGCGAAAUUCCUUGUCGGGUAAGUUCCGACCUGCACGAAUGGCGUAAUGAUGGCCAGGCUGUCUCCACCCGAGACUCAGUGAAAUUGAACUCGCUGUGAAGAUGCAGUGUACCCGCGGCAAGACGGAAAGACCCCGUGAACCUUUACUAUAGCUUGACACUGAACAUUGAGCCUUGAUGUGUAGGAUAGGUGGGAGGCUUUGAAGCGUGGACGCCAGUCUGCGUGGAGCCGACCUUGAAAUACCACCCUUUA